CCUUUGGAGAAUCAUAUCAAACGAAAGUAGCUAUGGCAAAAUCGGAUUCUAUGAAGAAGGAA
rnacentral:sRNA from 12 species